rnacentral:lncRNA from 1 species
UUUUUUACAUCUUCAAAAGUAAUAUUAAUAAUACAUUUUUUAAAGAAACCAGUGUCACUACCAAGCCUUUGGAUGAUUGACUACCCUGUGAUAUUUCUUUCAUCCAAGCCAGUUUAUAAAGGAAGGCAAAAACAACAAUAAAAGAAAUGUACCAAUUUAUUCUCAACUAAUAAAGUACUGAACAUUAGGGAAAAAAAGUAUGAAGUAGUGGAAUGUAACACAGAGCAAUUCCAUUACCCAUUGCAGUUUUGGGUCAUAUACUGUAUAUAAAGAGUAAUUACUUCAUUGGUUAGAGACCACAGUGGAGGAAUAUAGAAAUUGAUGAAAGAUUUUAAAAUACAAUUUUUUACCUGAAAGCAUUUGCCAACAUUCCAAAACUUUGCCAGCAUUACAGAGAGACCAUCUUAUUUUUGUCUUUUGGUGGCCAGACAAGGAGUGGCAGUGGGCUGAGAGUACAGGAGAAACAAAUACAACGAAGAGUGAUCUGAUUUUUAAAGAAUAUUAACAAAUAAUCAUAUAUCAACAGUUAGGUUUUAAAGUAUCUACUAAAAAUAGUCUUUGGAGAUACCUUAACAUGACACAUCCUACUAAUGAAGUUUCCAUAUUUAGUAUUUGUGCAUCCUGUUAGCAUAUAAUCUGAUGCUGUUCACUUUCCACCUUUGAAUCUAGUUUCUGGAUUUUAUCUGUGUGAUGAGUAUCAAGGGUAGAUGGUGCUAUCUAAAAAGUUUCUGAACAUUUUCAAAUCCUUUCUUUUUGUUUAUCAUACUGGGGUUCUAGGGAGAAAAUAAAAACUUCCUGGAUAAAAUAGUCACAUAGUAUGUUAUGGUUUGAAGAAUAGACUGAAGUUAGCCAGUUGCAGUCCCAAUCCAAGCUGUCAUUUUCCCUGAGCCUCAGUUUCCUCUUCUGUGAAGAAAAAUAUAUUGUAGGAUGGUUGAGGGGACUGAAUGAACUCUUUAAAAAUCACUUUGCAGUGCUUAAUGACCACUGACUUAUACUUCUCUCCCCAAAUUACUUAUAAAAAUAGAAAAACACAUUAAAAUACCACAGUAAAACCAUGCUCAGUAAUUUCUAAUUAAUUUAUUUCUUCUAAGUUCCUUCAAUAAUAUUGGAGAAAAUCAGGAUAAUAUUCUGAUUAUAAAGGAAAAAAAAUAACUUGCAGGCUUUGAAUCAUUAUAGGAAGGCACAAAGAAGAUAAACUUCCAUUAUCUGAAUAUUUUGACACAUUCCUUUCAUUUUUCCCGUAACAGCCAUUUAAAAAAUAGGAUUAUAUUGCCAGGUGUGGUGACCCAUGCCUAUAAUUUCAGCAGCUUGGGAGGCUGAGGCAGGAGGAUCACAGGUUCAAAACCAGCCUCACCAACUUAUUGAUGCCCUAAGCAACUUAGCAAGACCCUGUCUCAAAAAACAAAAAGGGCUGAGGAUGUGGCUCAUUGUUUAAGCACUCCCCAUUCAAUCUCCAGUACCAAAAAAAAAAAAAAAUUAUAUCACAUUUACUUCCUACUUUUUAUUUCUAUUAGAUCAUAAGCAUUUUUGUUUUCAUUAAAUAAUAAUGCUUUUGAUUUCAUAAUUAAUUCCAACCAAUAUAUUAUUGAUUUUUCUUUUUGGCAUUAUAAACAAAACUUCAAUGAAACAUUUUCAGAUGUUUACUGAAUACGUUGGAAACAUCAUCCCAUCACUUGUCAUAUUCUUUCAAAUUUUUUCCUACUUAAGACUUUAAAAUUUUGGGUGGUGUUGCAGAUUGAACUAGGAACUUAUACAUGCUAAGCAUACACCAGACCACUGAACUAUAUGCCUAGCUCUAGCCUUCCAAAUUUAUGAUGACUUGAUAUGAUUUUAUGUAACUAUCACUAUCAGAUAUUUCCUUGUGAUCUCCUAGUAGAGCUUAUAUGUUUAGAAAGUUCUUUGGUAUUCCAAAGUGAGUAAAUAAUUUACUUAUUUAAAAAAAAAAUUUUUUAGGUAUACAUCAACACAAUAUCUUUGUUUUUAUUUUUAUGUGGUGCCGAGGAUUGAAUCCAGUACCUCGCCAGUGCAAGGCAAGCACUCUGCCACUGAGCCACAACCCCAGCCCAUCCUAUAUUAUAUUUUUAUCAUUUAUUUUUAGCUUUCAAAAAUUAACCUAGAAUGUGUUUGGAGCUAUUUGAAGUAAAUAUUGAAGUAGAUAUGGGUUAUCUCAAAUAGGUUAGAGACUCUAUUGAAGGUAGGAUUUAAUAUAAUUUUGUUCAAAUAGUGGACAUAAUUGCUCAGUAACAUAACACUUCCCUCUUUAUGAUGGUGACACAUUAUAUAUCAAUCUCUAUGUGCCCACAUCUCACUUUAAUUACUUAAGUAUCUGGUCCAUUAAAUGCUUUUUCAUUAUUUCUCUUUUAUAAAAAUUUCUUGGCUGUACUUAUUUAUUAUUCCCAACAAAAUUUAGAAACAUAUCAUCAUAUUCUCUUCAAACAAUUGGGAUUUGCUUGAAAUUGCAUUCAAACUGGAGGAAAAAAAUUUAGUAUUCAGUAUUAUAAUAUACAAAUAUGAUAUAUCCAUAUUUUCAUAUAGAUUUUGUAUAUAUCUUAAGUUAUACCUAAAUAUUAUAUAUUUUAUUGUUGUGAGAAAAUAUUUUUCACAUAAUUUUGAAUAAAUCUUAUUCUCAGCAGACUUUUCAUUGUACAAUCAGCAGGUUUUGACUCAUUUUCUUUUUGUAGUGCUGGGGAUUGAACCCAGGGCCUUGCACAUACUAAGCAUUGCAGUCUACCACUAUCAUAUACUCCCCCACCCUGCCCUCCAACUGACUUUGCUAUAUUUAGAAUAAAUCACUUAUAAGAGCACUUUGCUUUAUGGACAUAAGUUAAUUUAGUUGAUACUUGAGAUGAGAACACUGAGGAUCAUGCCGACCAACUUUGUAGUUGUUUAUGAACGGAACUACAAAGAGCCAAUGGUUAUUCAUUUCAUUCUAAAGUGUACAAUUACAUAGGUAAAAUUAAUGCAUUUUGUUUUAUUAAAUGGGGGGGAAGAUAAGCAGUUGAUGCAUCCAAGUCUAUCAUGACAAGUGAAUUUUGACGAUAGUGGGGAAUGCUGAGUAGCUAAUUGCUUUCUAUACUGUUUUGGGUUUUGUGUGUCUCAUCUACCUCAUUGUUUGAAAAUCUGUUUUGGCAUAAGCAAGAUAAAUAAUGUAGACAAUCCUCCCAUGGUAAUUAAAUAUAAAAUGAAAGCUCCAAGUAAUUGACAUCUACCAAAGAUCAAGUUAUUGUAAAACUGGCCUUCAUGUCCUUGGUCCACGUAUACUGCAAUAUCCUAGGAGGAUACACACACAACUUUGAUUCACUUGCCCUUGGUUUCUGGGUGGCAGGAUGCCAGCCGUGGCCAAGUGUUCACAGUGUAAAGUGCUUUAGACUCUUCUGAAAUGAAAGUCAGUAUGUAAAUGUGCAACAUGACAUUAUUAUUCUAGCUUCCUGGCUGCUUUCAGCAAGCACUGACUGCCACAUGAGGUCUCAAGUGUUCUGGCAUAGUAUGCAAGUGUUCAAAAGAAGUUAAAGUAAUGAAAUUGGAUCUAUAUUUCCAUAGAUAUUCAAGCUGGCAUGGAGGAAUGGAGUCAUGGAAUCAGGGUUGGAUGGUCUCCACUAAACAGCCUAGGCAAGUGCCUGUGAUGCCAGGCUACUAAGCAGAAUUUUCAAUAGUGAAAGGCCACCACUAUUUCUUCUUCUGGGUUUAAAAUUACAAAAUAUGCACAUUUCCCUUAGGCUCACACCACUUUCUGGGUGCUUUGUGUUCAAUCCCCACCCACCUCUUCCCUGGAGUGCACCAGCUUUGCUUAAAUUCUGAACAAGUUUUAGGAUGAACUAUAUAAAAAAGGGGGGGAGAGGGGAUUUAGUCAGAACCUUGACUAAUAGUAUAUGCUACUGAGUAAGAGUAUUACUUUUCAGUGGGUGAUUAAGCUUAGUGUAUAUUUGAUCUAGGAAGUGUCAACUUAAUGGAUUUCAGUUAUUUGUCAUUUUUUUGCAGUUUUCAUUUGUACCCAGAAUAUUCUGCUGCUGAAUUAUCUGAAGCCACAACCAAACAUGGGUCUAUGGGUGGUAGGGUCAAGAAAACUGGAUUUGCUACGUAGAGUAUUGAUGGGUUCUGAGUCACUGCAAAAUCCAAGUUUGCUAAUAUUGAGGUCUGUCCUCUCUUUCACACCCUAUCCCCCAACUCCCUCAAUGUCUCUUUUAAUCAGCCUAAGAACAAGAAUUCAAGUCUGCUGGGUCACAACCAUUUUCAUAGCAGCACAGGUCUAUGAUGCUGGGUACUCUUCCUCCUCAUGUCCCUAAUAUCCUGAAAUUUUCAUAAGCUUCAAUUAUCCAUCUACGUAUAGAAAGUUUAUUUAAAUUUUAAAUAUGAGGAACAAUGCAGAGAAUUCAAGCACUAAAGGAUAUAUUUUAUUCAUACAGAAUUUCUUUUUUUAUUGCAUUUUAGGACAGUGAAAAAAAGGGAUUAAUAAAUAAAAUCUAUGCCAUCCAGGAGGUAUGUGUGAGUGUCCAGAACAUCCUAGAUGAAGUGGCUUCCUUUGGCGAAAGGAUAAAGAAGUGAGUGAUGCUGACAUGUGAGCCCUGGCCUUCUGUGGGACAGGGUAUCCAUUUAUUUCUUGAAGGGUGAAAUGCCACAUUCAUUUUGACAGGACAUACUCCUUCUGGGUGAUCUAUUGCUCAGUUUCAUCAUCAUUUACUUUGUUUCUGCCAGUCUUUGGUUUUAUGAAAGUUCUGUCAAUUUCUUCCCUGAAAUUUAGAACAUAUUGGUUGGAAAGAAGUCAUACUUGUAGCUGUGAAGAAAUAACACCGUCCUAAAUUUUAGCACAUUUUUCACAGUGAAAGACUUUGUUCUUAAAUGGAAUAUGCAAUCAUGAUAGAAAAAAAUAAAUCAAGCUAAAUGAUGAUUUCAGGUAAUGAAGACACUUGUAUUUUAUUAUUGGUCUAGUUAUAGUUUCAAGUUACUCUAUAUUUAAAAAAAAUAUUAUGUAUAGCACCCUACAGAAAUAUUCCUAUACUCUAUUCCUCCCGCCCACCUCAGGAAUUGAACCUAGAGGUGCUUUACCACUGAACCAUAUCCCCAGCCCUUUGUAUUUUUUUUAUUUUGAGACAGGGCCUCACUAAGUUGGUUAUGACCUCACUAAAUUGGGGAGGUUGUCUUGAACUUGAGAUCCUCCUGACUUAGCCUCCCAAGUCACUGGGAUUACAGGCCUCCAUGCCCGGCCCUAAACUCAGAUAUUUUAGUUUAAAUAUCUGAGAUCAUAAUUAUCAAUGAAACAAACUUUUGCCAUCUAGAAAAAUCGCAGAAUUUUUAUACUUAAAAAUUCGAAUCUUGGGCUGGGGAUGUGGCUCAAGCAGUAGCGCGCUCGCGGCGCUGGGUUCAAUCCUCAGCAUAAAAAUAAAGAUGUUGUGUCCACCGAAAACUAAAAAAUAAAUAUUAAAAAAUUCUCUCUUUUUUAAAAAAAUAUUAGAAUCUUAAUUUUUUAUACAGCUUCAUUGAGAGCUAACAUAAAAUUAAGGAACUUACUUUAUCUUAUUGUUUUAUUAUUUUAUUUACUAAUACAUUUUUAAAAAUUAGCCAGGUGUGGUGGUACAUGCCUAUAGUCCCAGCAACUUGGGAGGCUGAGGUAGAAGGAUUUCAAGUUCAAGGUAAGCCUGGGCAGCUUAGUGAGACUGUCUCAAGGUUAAAAAUUAAAAAGGACUUAAAAGGGCUGGGGUUGUAGCUCUAUAGUAAAUUGCCUCUAGGUUCAAUCACCAAUACCCCCUCCCCCGAAAAAAGUUUACUUAGGAAAAAAAAAACCGGUAAGGUGAAUUUACAGUAAUUGGUUAUGAGUUGAAGCCAUGCUAAGGCCUCAUAAACUACAUGAAACUGGCCUGUGUAAUGAUUGCUAAUGAUCUAGUCAAGAAGGGGUACAAUGUAUCUGGGUAAGCCUGGUUUUCUUAGUUUAAAUAUCAAUCUUUUUUAUUGAUAACCUAAAGUAUUUUGCAGAUUUAGAUCCUUGGACAUACACAGAAUUUGAAAGGAGUCAAUU